rnacentral:rRNA from 1 species
GAUGAACGCUGGCGGCGUGCUUAAUACAUGCAAGUCGAGCGAACAGACGAGGAGCUUGCUCCUCUGACGUUAGCGGCGGACGGGUGUGUAACACGUGUAUAACCCACCUAUAUUACUGGGAUAACUUCGGGACACCGGCGCUAAUACCGGAUAAUCUAUUGAACCGCAUGGUUCAAUAGUGAAAGACGGUUUUGCUGUCACUACUAGCUGGAUCCGCGCCGCAUUAGCUAGUUGGUAAGGUAACGGCUUUCCACGGCGACGAUGCGUAGCCGACCUGAGAGGGUGAUCGGCCGCACUGGAGCUGAGACAGGGUCCAGGCUCCUGCGAGAGGCAGCAGUAGGGAAUCUUACGCAAUGGGCGAGAGCCUGACAGAGCAACGCCACGUGAGUGAUGGAGAUCUUCGGAUCGUGAAGCUCUGUUAUGGGGGAAAAACAACUGUGUAAGUAACUAAGCACGUCUUGACGGUACCUGGUCAGAAAGCCACGGCUAACUACGUG